rnacentral:rRNA from 2 species
CCCCGGUAAACGGCGGCCGUAACUAUAACGGUCCUAAGGUAGCGAAAUUCCUUGUCGGGUAAGUUCCGACCUGCACGAAUGGCGUAAUGAUGGCCAGGCUGUCUCCACCCGAGACUCAGUGAAAUUGAACUCGCUGUGAAGAUGCAGUGUACCCGCGGCAAGACGGAAAGACCCCGUGAACCUUUACUAUAGCUUGACACUGAACAUUGAGCCUUGAUGUGUAGGAUAGGUGGGAGGCUUUGAAGUGUGGACGCCAGUCUGCAUGGAGCCGACCUUGAAAUACCACCCUUUAAUGUUUGAUGUUCUAACGUGGACCCGUAAUCCGGGUUGCGGACAGUGUCUGGUGGGUAGUUUGACUGGGGCGGUCUCCUCCUAAAGAGUAACGGAGGAGCACGAAGGUUGGCUAAUCCUGGUCGGACAUCAGGAGGUUAGUGCAAUGGCAUAAGCCAGCUUGACUGCGAGCGUGACGGCGCGAGCAGGUGCGAAAGCAGGUCAUAGUGAUCCGGUGGUUCUGAAUGGAAGGGCCAUCGCUCAACGGAUAAAAGGUACUCCGGGGAUAACAGGCUGAUACCGCCCAAGAGUUCAUAUCGACGGCGGUGUUUGGCACCUCGAUGUCGGCUCAUCACAUCCUGGGGCUGAAGUAGGUCCCAAGGGUAUGGCUGUUCGCCAUUUAAAGUGGUACGCGAGCUGGGUUUAGAACGUCGUGAGACAGUUCGGUCCCUAUCUGCCGUGGGCGCUGGAGAACUGAGGGGGGCUGCUCCUAGUACGAGAGGACCGGAGUGGACGCAUCACUGGUGUUCGGGUUGUCAUGCCAAUGGCACUGCCCGGUAGCUAAAUGCGGAAGAGAUAAGUGCUGAAAGCAUCUAAGCACGAAACUUGCCCCGAGAUGAGUUCUCCCUGAGACUUAGAGUCUCCUGAAGGAACGUUGAAGACGACGACGUUGAUAGGCCGGGUGUGUAAGCGCAGCGAUGCGUUGAGCUAACCGGUACUAAUGAACCGUGAGGCU